UUUUGUAACCCAUUUUGGUUCACAUGCAGAUUAACUUUGACCAGAUCCUUACCCAAUAUUCCCCCUCCCCUUGUCCCUUCACUUCACUUUAGAAAGUAGACAGGGGAAUCUAAAUAUUUAUGAGGUCUUUUUCUCCCCCUCCAUGGUUUAUGAUGUGCUGUUGUUGGAUGUUGAGGAAUUACGUUAAUGAAUGCAUGCCUGCACACACAGACACAGAAACCAGGCAAAGGGGGAACACACACACAAAGCUCGGUCAGCUCUCAUGUGGGCACUUACCAAACAGUUCCCAUGGAAAGGCAGCGGGGAGAGGGAGCAGGCUCCACAUCCUUUGCCAGAAGAAUUGUACAGGGAAAUACAAAGGGCUGCCUCUUUGCUUUCCUCAGCCGCAAGUAUAUAACUUGUUGCAGCUAAUUAAAAAGAUGAAAACUGUGACACAGAGUGGUCAAGAUAGAAGAAGUUAUUUAUGAGGAAGAAUAUACCAGCAAGGAGAGCCUGCAACUGUCUGCUUUUCCCCAACUCCAUUAGGAAGGACAAGAUGGUACUCUCUUCUUUCCUCCUCCGUUGGAAAGCAAAACCAGAGGAUGAGAGAAGAGGACUGACCGUGUCAUGCAGUCAGGUGAAGUGACCUACUUCUGCAUUACCAAGCAAAAAUAAAGGAAGAAACAAAGCAGGACUUUUAAAAUGUUGGUCCUAAUAAGUGAGGCAGCACGGCCAGCACUGUGAAAGAGCGGGAUAAAGCAACAAACUUUACAAAGGCACCCUUUUAUGUUCAAAGAACCAGAAAUGUCUUGCUUUGGGAAAUGGUGAUUGAGUAUCUCUUACUGCAAAUACUUGUAACUGGAAGGAUUUUGUAUUGUGGAAUUUCUCAGAUUUUGGAAUAUCUUUAUUUGCAUAUAACUACACACAAUGAGAUUUCUUGGAGAUGGAAUAAAAGUGUAAACAUAAAAUUAAUUAUUUUUCAAAUAUACUUUAUACACAUAAA